rnacentral:tRNA from 1 species
GUCGUGGUGGUGUUAGUGGUUAGCAUGUUAGCCUUCCAAGCUAAAUGGGUGGGUUCGAGUCCCAUUCACGACU